rnacentral:rRNA from 1 species
AGCGAACGCUGGCGGCAGGCUUAACACAUGCAAGUCGAGCGGGCCCUUCGGGGUCAGCGGCAGACGGGUGAGUAACACGUGGGAACGUACCCUUUGGUUCGGAAUAACGCUGGGAAACUAGCGCUAAUACCGGAUACUCCCUUUUGGGGAAAGGCUUGCUGCCGAAGGAUCGGCCCGCGUCUGAUUAGCUAGUUGGUGGGGUAAUGGCCUACCAAGGCGACGAUCAGUAGCUGGUCUGAGAGGAUGAUCACCCACACUGGGACUGAGACACGGCCCACACUCCUACGGGAGGCAGCAGUGGGGAAUAUUGGACAAUGGGCGCAAGCCUGAUCCAGCCAUGCCGCGUGAGUGAUGAAGGCCUUAGGGUUGUAAAGCUCUUUCGUCCGGGACGAUAAUGACGGUACCGGAAGAAUACCCCCCGGCUAUCUUCGUGCCAGCAGCCGCGGUAAUACGAAGGGGGCUAGCGUUGCUCGGAGUCACUGGGCGUAAAGGGCGCGUAGGCGGCCAUUCAAGUCGGGGGUGAAAGCCUGUGGCUCAACCACAGAAUUGCCUUCGAUACUGUUUGGCUUGA